rnacentral:misc_RNA from 1 species
AGUCAUUUUCCUUAAAAAUGACUUCGUUUUCUCUUUGAUCAGGAAAAUAUUUUUCAUUAAUUAAUUUUUCUGAAUGCCCCAACACUAGAAAAUACAAAAAAUAUCUUCCAAGAAAAUAUUUUAUGUGAAACAGAGCCUAAAUAUUCACUGGCAAUGUACUUUCUGUGAAACAAGCAAGCCUUAAAUACAAAGCAAUUGCAUUUCAAGAAUCUAUCCUACUUUCUGCU